rnacentral:rRNA from 1 species
UACGGAGGAUGCGAGCGUUAUCCGGAUUUAUUGGGUUUAAAGGGUGCGCAGGCGGCACGGCGAGCCGGCGGUCAAAUCGCGGGGCUCAACCCCGCCCAGCCGUCGGAACUGCCGGGCUAGAGUGGGCGGGAAGUGCGCGGAAUGCGUGGUGUAGCGGUGAAAUGCAUAGAUAUCACGCAGAACUCCGAUUGCGAAGGCAGCGCACCGGCGCCCUACUGACGCUCAGGCACGAAAGCGUGGGUAUCGAACAGG